CUCAUUAAAUCAGUUAUCGUUUAUUUGAUAGUACCUUACUACUUGGAUAACCGUGGUAAUUCUAGAGCUAAUACAUGCUGAAAACCCCAACUUCGGGAGGGGUGUAUUUAUUAGAUAAAAAACCAACGCCCUUCGGGGCUUCUUGGUGAUUCAUGAUAACUUUACGGAUCGCAUGGCCUUGCGCCGGCGACGGUUCAUUCAAAUUUCUGCCCUAUCAACUUUCGAUGGUAAGGUAUUGGCUUACCAUGGUUUCAACGGGUAACGGGGAAUUAGGGUUCGAUUCCGGAGAGGGAGCCUGAGAAACGGCUACCACAUCCAAGGAAGGCAGCAGGCGCGCAAAUUACCCAAUCCCGACACGGGGAGGUAGUGACAAUAAAUACUGAUACAGGGCUCUUUUGGGUCUUGUAAUUGGAAUGAGUACAAUUUAAACCUCUUAACGAGGAACAAUUGGAGGGCAAGUCUGGUGCCAGCAGCCGCGGUAAUUCCAGCUCCAAUAGCGUAUAUUAAAGUUGUUGCAGUUAAAAAGCUCGUAGUUGAAACUUGGGUCUGGCUGGCAGGUCCGCCUCACCGCGUGUACUUGUCCGGCCGGGCCUUCCUUCUGGAGAACCUCAUGCCCUUCACUGGGCGUGUUGGGGACCAGGACUUUUACUUUGAAAAAAUUAGAGUGUUCAAAGCAGGCCUUUGCUCGAAUACGUUAGCAUGGAAUAAUAGAAUAGGACGUGCGGUCCUAUUUUGUUGGUUUCUAGGACCGCCGUAAUGAUUAAUAGGGACAGUCGGGGGCAUCAGUAUUCAAUUGUCAGAGGUGAAAUUCUUGGAUUUAUUGAAGACUAACUACUGCGAAAGCAUUUGCCAAGGAUGUUUUCAUUAAUCAGUGAACGAAAGUUAGGGGAUCGAAGACGAUCAGAUACCGUCGUAGUCUUAACCGUAAACUAUGCCGACUAGGGAUCGGGCGAUGUUCUUUUUCUGACUCGCUCGGCACCUUACGAGAA
rnacentral:rRNA from 1 species